CAAUACUUAGUGGCAGACGGGUGAGUAACAUGUAGGUAUCUGCCCUUUGGCCUGGAAUAACACGAGGAAACUUGUGCUAAUACCGGAUAAGUCUUUACGGAGAAAGCUUUAUGCACCAUUGGAUGAGCCUGCACUUGAUUAGUUUGUUGGUGGGGUAAUGGCCUACCAAGACUGUGAUCAAUAGCUGAUUUGAGAGGAUGAUCAGCCACAUUGGGACUGAGACACGGCCCAAACUCCUACGGGAGGCAGCAGUGGGGAAUCUUGCACAAUGGAGGAAACUCUGAUGCAGCGAUGCCGCGCGAGUGAAGAAGGCCCUUGGGUUGUAAAGCUCUUUCGUCGGGGAAGAAAAUGACUGUACCCGAAUAAGAAGGUCCGGCUAACUUCGUGCCAGCAGCCGCGGUAAUACGAAGGGACCUAGCGUAGUUCGGAAUUACUGGGCUUAAAGAGUUCGUAGGUGGUUGAAAAAGUUAGUGGUGAAAUCCCAGAGCUUAACUCUGGAACUGCCAUUAAAACUUUUCAGCUAGAGUAUGAUAGAGGAAAGCAGAAUUUCUAGUGUAGAGGUGAAAUUCGUAGAUAUUAGAAAGAAUACCAAUUGCGAAGGCAGCUUUCUGGAUCAUUACUGACACUGAGGAACGAAAGCAUGGGUAGCGAAGAGGAUUAGAUACCCUCGUAGUCCAUGCCGUAAACGAUGUGUGUUAGACGUUGGAAAUUUAUUUUCAGUGUCGCAGGGAAACCGAUAAACACACCGCCUGGGGAGUACGACCGCAAGGUUAAAACUCAAAUGAAUUGACGGGGACCCGCACAAGUAGU
rnacentral:rRNA from 1 species